GGGUUGUGAGGUUAAGCGACUAAGCGUACACGGUGGAUGCCUAGGCAGUCAGAGGCGAUGAAGGGCGUGCUAAUCUGCGAUAAGCGUCGGUAAGCUGAUAUGAAGCGUUAUACCCGACGAUACCCGAAUGGGGAAACCCAGUGUGUUUCGACACACUAUCAUGACAUGAAUACAUAGUGUCAUGAGGCGAACCGGGGGAACUGAAACAUCUCAGUACCCCGAGGAAAAGAAAUCAACCGAGAUUCCCCCAGUAGCGGCGAGCGAACGGGGAGGAGCCCAGAACCUGAAUCAGUUUGUGUGUUAGUGGAAGCGUCUGGAAAGUCGCACAGUAAAGGGUGAUAGUCCCGUACACAAAAAUGCACAAGCUGUGAGUUCGAUGAGUAGGGCGGGACACGUGACAUCCUGUCUGAAUAUGGGGGGACCAUCCUCCAAGGCUAAAUACUCCUGACUGACCGAUAGUGAACCAGUACCGUGAGGGAAAGGCGAAAAGAACCCCGGCGAGGGGAGUGAAAUAGAACCUGAAACCGUGUACGUACAAGCAGUGGGAGCCUACUUGUUAGGUGACUGCGUACCUUUUGUAUAAUGGGUCAGCGACUUAUAUUCUGUAGCAAGGUUAACCGUAUAGGGGAGCCGCAGGGAAACCGAGUCUUAACUGGGCGUUAAGUUGCAGGGUAUAGACCCGAAACCCGGUGAUCUAGCCAUGGGCAGGUUGAAGGUUGGGUAACACUAACUGGAGGACCGAACCGACUAAUGUUGAAAAAUUAGCGGAUGACUUGUGGCUGGGGGUGAAAGGCCAAUCAAACCGGGAGAUAGCUGGUUCUCCCCGAAAGCUAUUUAGGUAGCGCCUCGUGAAUUCAUCUUCGGGGGUAGAGCACUGUUUCGGCUAGGGGGUCAUCCCGACUUACCAACCCGAUGCAAACUACGAAUACCGAAGAAUGUUAUCACGGGAGACACACGGCGGGUGCUAACGUUCGUCGUGAAGAGGGAAACAACCCAGACCGCCAGCUAAGGUCCCAAAGUCAUGGUUAAGUGGGAAACGAUGUGGGAAGGCACAGACAGCCAGGAUGUUGGCUUAGAAGCAGCCAUCAUUUAAAGAAAGCGUAAUAGCUCACUGGUCGAGUCGGCCUGCGCGGAAGAUGUAACGGGGCUAAACCAUGCACCGAAGCUGCGGCAGCGACACUUAGGUGUUGUUGGGUAGGGGAGCGUUCUGUAAGCCGUCGAAGGUGGCCUGUGAGGGCUGCUGGAGGUAUCAGAAGUGCGAAUGCUGACAUAAGUAACGAUAAUGCGGGUGAAAAACCCGCACGCCGGAAGACCAAGGGUUCCUGUCCAACGUUAAUCGGGGCAGGGUGAGUCGACCCCUAAGGCGAGGCUGAAAAGCGUAGUCGAUGGGAAACAGGUUAAUAUUCCUGUACUCGGUGUUACUGCGAAGGGGGGACGGAGAAAGCUAGGUUAUCCGGGCGACGGUUGUCCCGGUUUAAGCGUGAAGGUGGAUGACUUUGGUAAAUCCGGGUCGUCAUUAACACUGAGGCGUGAUGACGAGUCACUACGGUGAUGAAGUAACUAAUGCUACGCUUCCAGGAAAAGCCUCUAAGCUCCAGGUAACAUCAAAUCGUACCCCAAACCGACACAGGUGGUCAGGUAGAGAAUACUCAGGCGCUUGAGAGAACUCGGGUGAAGGAACUAGGCAAAAUGGUGCCGUAACUUCGGGAGAAGGCACGCUGAUGGUAGGUGAAGUGACUUGCUCACGGAGCUGAAAUCAGUCGAAGAUACCAGCUGGCUGCAACUGUUUAAUAAAAACACAGCACUGUGCAAACACGAAAGUGGACGUAUACGGUGUGACGCCUGCCCGGUGCCGGAAGGUUAAUUGAUGGGGUCAGCCGCAAGGCGAAGCUCUUGAUCGAAGCCCCGGUAAACGGCGGCCGUAACUAUAACGGUCCUAAGGUAGCGAAAUUCCUUGUCGGGUAAGUUCCGACCUGCACGAAUGGCGUAAUGAUGGCCAGGCUGUCUCCACCCGAGACUCAGUGAAAUUGAACUCGCUGUGAAGAUGCAGUGUACCCGCGGCAAGACGGAAAGACCCCGUGAACCUUUACUAUAGCUUGACACUGAACCUUGAGCCUUGAUGUGUAGGAUAGGUGGGAGGCUUUGAAGCGUGGACGCCAGUCUGCGUGGAGCCAACCUUGAAAUACCACCCUUUAAUGUUUGAUGUUCUAACGUGGACCCGUAAUCCGGGUUGCGGACAGUGUCUGGUGGGUAGUUUGACUGGGGCGGUCUCCUCCCAAAGCGUAACGGAGGAGCACGAAGGUUAGCUAAUCCUGGUCGGACAUCAGGAGGUUAGUGCAAAGGCAUAAGCUAGCUUGACUGCGAGAGUGACAGCUCGAGCAGGUGCGAAAGCAGGUCUUAGUGAUCCGGUGGUUCUGAAUGGAAGGGCCAUCGCUCAACGGAUAAAAGGUACUCCGGGGAUAACAGGCUGAUACCGCCCAAGAGUUCAUAUCGACGGCGGUGUUUGGCACCUCGAUGUCGGCUCAUCACAUCCUGGGGCUGAAGUAGGUCCCAAGGGUAUGGCUGUUCGCCAUUUAAAGUGGUACGCGAGCUGGGUUUAGAACGUCGUGAGACAGUUCGGUCCCUAUCUGCCGUGGGCGUUGGAAGAUUGAGAGGGGUUGCUCCUAGUACGAGAGGACCGGAGUGAACGCACCACUGGUGUACGGGUUGUGAUGCCAAUUGCAUUGCCCGGUAGCUAAGUGCGGAAGAGAUAACCGCUGAAAGCAUCUAAGCGGGAAACUUGCCUCGAGAUGAGUCUUCCCUGGGCACUAGAUGCCCCUGAAGGGCCGUUGAAGACGACGACGUAGAUAGGCUGGGUGUGUAAGCGUAGCGAUACGUUGAGCUAACCAGUACUAAUGACCCGAGAGGCUUAACCUUACAACACCGAAGGUGUUU
rnacentral:rRNA from 2 species